rnacentral:rRNA from 1 species
CAUGCAAGUCGAACGAAGUAGCAAUACUUAGUGGCAGACGGGUGAGUAACAUGUAGGUAUCUUCCCUUUGGCCUGGAAUAACACGAGGAAACUUGUGCUAAUACUGGACAAGUCUUUACGGAGAAAGCUUUAUGCACCAUUGGAUGAGCCUGCACUUGAUUAGUUUGUUGGUGGGGUAAUGGCCUACCAAGGCUUUGAUCAAUAGCUGAUUUGAGAGGAUGAUCAGCCACAUUGGGACUGAGACACGGCCCAAACUCCUACGGGAGGCAGCAGUGGGGAAUCUUGCACAAUGGAGGAAACUCUGAUGCAGCGAUGCCGCGUGAGUGAAGAAGGCCCUUGGGUUGUAAAGCUCUUUCGUCGGGGAAGAAAAUGACUGUACCCGAAUAAGAAGGUCCGGCUAACUUCGUGCCAGCAGCCGCGGUAAUACGAAGGGACCUAGCGUAGUUCGGAAUUACUGGGCUUAAAGAGUUCGUAGGUGGUUGAAAAAGUUGGUGGUGAAAUCCCAGAGCUUAACUCUGGAACUGCCAUCAAAACUUUUCAGCUAGAGUUUGAUAGAGGAAAGCAGAAUUUCUAGUGUAGAGGUGAAAUUCGUAGAUACUAGAAAGAAUACCAAUUGCGAAGGCAGCUUUCUGGAUCAUUACUGACACUGAGGAACGAAAGCAUGGGUAGCGAAGAGGAUUAGAUACCCUCGUAGUCCAUGCCGUAAACGAUGUGUGUUAGACGUUGGAAAUUUAUUUUCAGUGUCGCAGCGAAAGCGAUAAACACACCGCCUGGGGAGUAC